GUUUGGAAUAAAUUUUUUGUAAUUGUUUGUUGAAUGAUCAUGAAUGUUGUUUGAAUUUUUGUGAAUCUGUGAUUGGAUGAUAAUGAUUUUCUUCGUUUCUGAAUCGAAUUUUCUGAAUUGAAU